AAAAAAGAAUUCCAAUGGCUUCACCAAUUUGCGUCGGCCUUCAAUUGCCGUCGCUAAAGCCUCCUCUUUCGCCACGGCAAAACUUGAGGGGUCGCGAUUGUGCAAAAUAUUUGCGACGGUAACAACUGCCGUCGCCAUUGGGCGUCGCAAACCCAAUGAUUUACUUCGGCAAGAGUUAGCCGUGGUAAAAUAUUAACAGUUUGCGACUGUAAAGACAUUCAUGCCGUCGCGUUUCUUCAAUUCUUCCCGUGGCUUUUAUGUUUUUAUUUUCCCGUGCUUUCUAUUCCUUUAAGAUUAGCAUCUGAACUAAACGAUUUUACUUCUCUUUCUCUCUACUUUGCCGUCCUUCUUUGAGUCCAUCUCGAUUCGAUACCGAUGAGUGCUAUAGAUUUCCUCUCUCCAUCACCUCCUUCAACUAUUUUCCCCUCUCGAUCUGUCAUAUUCUCUGCGGAGUGCAUGCAGCCCCAUCCCCUCGUUCUUACUUUCCUCUUUUCCCUUUAUAUACCUUCCGAUCCCCUCCCUCCACUCCUCCACUUUCACAGCAGAUUGGUCAAACUCCAACCAACUUUCUACCAUUUUCAGAUCGCUUCGUUUUCUUCAUCGGAAUCCAUGGCGAAACAACCAGCUCGCGUCCUCGUUACCAGAGCCACAGGUACUGUAACGCAUCCAUAUCUUUCCUGGAUCAGAGUUUCAAAAGCCAUGUGAUUUUCCGGCCUAAGACAACCUCGAGGCUUUGUUGAUUCGAGGUUGGCUUAGGGUGGAGUGGCGGAUCUGUUGUAGCGUUCUCUGAGGACGACGGCAAAGGUUUGGAUCUACCAGGGAUCGAAGGCGUUCGAUGGGACAGGGGAGUGGGCCUGAGCCUAGAGCUUGGGUGCUCGCGGCAGAUGGGCGAUGCAAGAUUAGCGCAAUGGUUGAAUCAAAUGCUGAAGGAAAUUCCUUUUUCUGGAAUUCUGAGCAACAGGCAAUCACUUAAUCCAGUUCUCCAUCAAAAGCCGUCUGAAUUUCUCCAUAUCAGAGACUGUCUGCUGAUGUUCCUGUACAACUUCAUGAGAGGUUUCAAGGUGAGAGUAUCACUAGGUCCUCAGUUAUAGAGGAACCUGGAGACCAUGGAGAAGCACACUUAGUAGCUCUGGGUGAAUUAGAAUUCCGUAAACAAUUUCUAAUAUUAAGUGAUGCUGGAGGCUCAUGAUGAGAGUCAUGCACAAGAUGCGUCGUGGGGGUUGUCUAACAUAAGGGCUGUUGACGAAACUUAAAAUCAGGUUGACGGUCCAUCCGAAAACCCAGUCAAUAAGGACGAGAUCAGUGAGGUGCCAGAUUUAUAUCUUGGUGCAAGCAUUCAUCUCUCAAGAGAUCCUAAUAAUGUUAAGGAUCCCAAUGCCAUCCAGUGUAGGACCUAUUGCUAUAGAGAGAAGAAGAGUGGUGGAGAAGGAGAUAGACACAAAGAAGAACAUAGCUAUCAAUGAAUGAAUGAAGCAAAGAAGAAUACCAAUGCGGUUGAACUUAUGCGCUUGAAUUCUGAUUAUGUAGGUCAUGAUACUUAGCCUACUGAGCGUCAGCAUUAUGUAUUUUAAUUUUUGAAUGUUUUUGUAUUUUCAAGAUUGGUGAAGUUGUAUGAAAUGUAUAGAAAUAAUGUGAAAAAAACAUAUGAAAUUAUGAUUUAUAUGGCU